rnacentral:rRNA from 1 species
UACCAGCACCCCGAGUGGUCGGGACGAUUAUUGGGCCUAAAGCAUCCGUAGCCGGUUCUACAAGUCUUCCGUUAAGUCCACCUGCUUAACAGAUGGGCUGCGGAGGAUACUAUAGAGCUAGGAGGCGGGAGAGGCAAGCGGUACUUAGUGGGAAGGGGUAAAAUCCGUUGAUCCAUUGAAGACCACCAGUGGCGAAGGCGGCUUGCCAGAACGCACUCGACGGUGAGGGAUGAAAGCUGGGGGAGCAAACCGG